GACGAACGCUGUUGGCGUGCUUAACACAUGCAAGUCGAACGGAAAGGCCCUGCUUUUGUGGGGUGCUCGAGUGGCGAACGGGUGAGUAACACGUGAGUAACCUGCCCUUGACUUUGGGAUAACUUCAGGAAACUGGGGCUAAUACCGGAUAGGAGCUCCUGCUGCAUGGUGGGGGUUGGAAAGUUUCGGCGGUUGGGGAUGGACUCGCGGCUUAUCAGCUUGUUGGUGGGGUAGUGGCUUACCAAGGCUUUGACGGGUAGCCGGCCUGAGGGGGUGACCGGCCACAUUGGGACUGAGAUACGGCCCAGACUCCUACGGGAGGCAGCAGUGGGGAAUAUUGCACAAUGGGCGGAAGCCUGAUGCAGCAACGCCGCGUGCGGGAUGACGGCCUUCGGGUUGUAAACCGCUUUCGCCUGUGACGAAGCGUGAGUGACGGUAAUGGGUAAAGAAGCACCGGCUAACUACGUGCCAGCAGCCGCGGUGAUACGUAAGGUGCGAGCGUUGUCCGGAUUUAUUGGGCGCAAAGGGCUCGUAGGUGGUUGAUCGCGUCGGAAGUGUAAUCUUGGGGCUUAACCCUGAGCGUGCUUUCGAUACGGGUUGACUUGAGGAAGGUAGGGGAGAAUGGAAUUCCUGGUGGAGCGGUGGAAUGCGCAGAUAUCAGGAGGAACACCAGUGGCGAAGGCGGUUCUCUGGGCCUUUCCUGACGCUGAGGAGCGAAAGCGUGGGGAGCGAACAGGCUUAGAUACCCUGGUAGUCCACGCUGUAAACGGUGGGUACUAGGUGUGGGGUCCAUUCCACGGGUUCCGUGCCGUAGCUAACGCUUUAAGUACCCCGCCUGGGGAGUACGGCCGCAAGGCUAAAACUCAAAGGAAUUGACGGGGCCCCGCACAAGCGGCGGAGCAUGCGGAUUAAUUCGAUGCAACGCGUAGAACCUUACCUGGGUUUGACAUGGAUCGGGAGCGCUCAGAGAUGGGUGUGCCUCUUUUGGGGUCGGUUCACAGGUGGUGCAUGGCUGUCGUCAGCUCGUGUCGUGAGAUGUUGGGUUAAGUCCCGCAACGAGCGCAACCCUUGUUCACUGUUGCCAGCACGUUAUGGUGGGGACUCAGUGGAGACCGCCGGGGUCAACUCGGAGGAAGGUGGGGAUGACGUCAAGUCAUCAUGCCCCUUAUGUCCAGGGCUUCACGCAUGCUACAAUGGCUGGUACAGAGAGUGGCGAGCCUGUGAGGGUGAGCGAAUCUCGGAAAGCCGGUCUCAGUUCGGAUUGGGGUCUGCAACUCGACCUCAUGAAGUCGGAGUCGCUAGUAAUCGCAGAUCAGCAACGCUGCGGUGAAUACGUUCCCGGGGCU
rnacentral:rRNA from 1 species